UACGGGAGUGGCAAGCGUUAUCCGGAAUUAUUGGGCGUAAAGCGUCCGCAGGCGGUCUUGUAAGUCUGUUCGUUAAAGCAGUGCGAGCUUAACAUCCUAUUUAAGGCGAUGUGAAACGUGCAAAGAUCUAGUAGAUGUGGGUAGGGAGCAGAAGGGAAUUCCCGGUGUAGCGGUGAAAUGCGUAGAUAUCGUGGAAGAACACCAGUGGCGAAGGCGCUCUGCUGGGCCAUAACUGACGCUCAUGGACGAAAGCCAGGGGAGCGAAAGGGAUUAGAUACCCCUGUAGUCCUGGCCGUAAACGAUGAACACUAGGUGUCGGGGGAAUCGACCCCCUCGGUGUCGUAGCCAACGCGUUAAGUGUUCCGCCUGGGGAGUACGCACGCAAGUGUGAAACUCAAAGGAAUUGACGGGGGCCCGCACAAGCGGUGGAGUAUGUGGUUUAAUUCGAUGCAACGCGAAGAACCUUACCAGGGUUUGACAUCCUGCGAAUCCCUUGGAAACGAGGGAGUGCCUUCGGGAACGCAGUGACAGGUGGUGCAUGGCUGUCGUCAGCUCGUGUCGUGAGAUGUUGGGUUAAGUCCCGCAACGAGCGCAACCCACGUCGUUAGUUGCCAGCAUUCACUUGGGCACUCUAGCGAGACCGCCGGUGAUAAACCGGAGGAAGGUGUGGAUGACGUCAAGUCAUCAUGCCCCUUACAUCCUGGGCUACACACGUACUACAAUGCUACGGACAAAGGGCAGCAAACUCGCGAGAGCUAGCAAAUCCCAUAAACCGUGGCUCAGUUCAGAUCGUAGGCUGCAACUCGCCUACGUGAAGGAGGAAUCGCUAGUAAUCGCAGGUCAGCAUACUGCGGUGAAUACGUUCCCGGGCCU
rnacentral:rRNA from 1 species